rnacentral:rRNA from 1 species
GACGGAAGGUGCAAGCGUUGCUCGGAAUCACUGGGCGUAAAGGGUGCGUAGGCGGCCGUGCAAGUCUGGCGUGAAAGCCCCGGGCUCAGCCCGGGAAGUGCGCUCGAAACUGCGCGGCUCGAGUGCCGGAGGGGAGAGUGGAAUUCCUGGUGUAGCGGUGAAAUGCGUAGAUAUCAGGAGGAACACCGGUGGCGAAGGCGGAUCUCUGGGCCGUAACUGACGCUGAGGAGCGAAAGCAUGGGUAGCGAACAGG